ensembl:lncRNA
ACUGGAACGGUCACUCCUAGAACUACCUUUCAUCUUAGCAAGCAGGACAGAAACAGUUAAGUCCUGAAGGCUGUGAGUUAAGAACUCUGCCAGAGAGAGAUGCCAUGGAAGAUGUCCCUGCCAGGUGUGGGCUGUCACUGCCAGGUGUGGGUGGAGAAAGGCUGCCCUCCUUAAGCCACGCAUUACAGUCAAGGUCAUCUGUCUGGUGCCACCUUAGAAACUGGCCUGAUUCUGUAGAGGACAUUGAAUGAUAACACCCAGCCAGUCAGCUGACUGCUGUGUCAUAGCUGCUGCCUUCUGCAUUAUCGCAACUGCCGGAGCUCCUGCUCCUGCAGUUUCCUAGUCGCAACGCGGCAAAGCCACGGCAUACAACUAGGCACCAAGCGACCGAGUUUUAAAGUGUUAUUUUCCUGCUGCUACUUAGCAUCUCUCACAUGAGGAGUAUUUACCUUUGUUUAGCCAGGAGCAGAGAAGCAGUCUGAAUGUACACGAUGGCUUCUAACUUGGCAGCGUGAAUUUUCAGCCGAACAGGUACUGCUCAGAGCCUGGUAGCCAAACUGCCUCUUGGGGAGCACGGCUGCUUCCCACCACCUGUGGGAAUAGUUUGCGGGCUUCUUAUGCCUCGCUGCUAUACCUGCAGGAAUAGAGGCUAGGACAAAGGAGACGAUGCUUGCCGUGGUGUGUCUGGCUGGGGCCUGUGCAGGCAUCUCCACCGAACUGACGCUGUGUGACUCUCCAAGCUCACAGUUAAGGCUGGUCACAGGGGCUGGCGCAGAUCCCCACUCCUCACUUAGAACACGGUUUAACGGAGAAGCCAGACCCACUGACCUAAAUGAAUGCCAGUCCUCUCUGGAUGCGGGGACAGCUGUCGACUAGCAGUGACACAACUAGCCAUCAAGUGGAGAAUCAUUGCGACUGCAGUCUGGGUGCAGAUGGAGCCUGGGAGAAUGACAGUCUCAUUUCGGUCAUCCGAUGGCUUCUUAUUUUCCUAAAUAACCGUGCUCGCUAAGUAUACAGUUGUCUGGAUUAGUCUGCCUUGCAUGCAGUCUUCAUCUGCUCUGGUUGGAAAUCAGGGUGCCAGGCAAGCCAGCUUUAGGACUGGCUCCUUUCUGCGUGAUGCUAUACAACUAGGAUGGGUCACACUGACAACAAAGAAGGAAGCAGAGAGCAUCACUUUAUCUCCUCUUGCCAUGUCAGUGGAACAUAACUCUUCUUCGCAAUGAUGCCCUCGUGUGUGUGUCUGUGUGUGUGUGUGUUUUAAUUCAUCUAAUCGAAGAGCCUAACAGAUAUCAUCAUGGAUGUGGUUUUUAAUGAUUUGGAAAAAAAGACAGCCUGUGGAGACAGCGAUUGGAGACAGCAGCACAUUUAGGUUCUUGCCAAUUCAAAAUACUUUGGUUUGUGAAGCCGAGCCCUAAGGGACAGGCUCGGUAACUGAGAAAGAGAUCGUAGAUAAAGAAAUAAAAAUGACAAGCGUAAUGGAGGCUCUGCGAAAGGACUGUCAGAGCAUCAGUUCAUGGAUGGCAAUUUCGCCAGGCUGAGAUUGAAUAAUUCAUAGGUUGAAAUUACCCUGCUUUCACCUUUCCAUUUAAACCGGCAUGAUCUGAAUCUCUAAUAAAUUUUCAAGAUAAAGUAAAAUGCCAAUUUGAAUCUGAAGAGCUUUUAAAACCAGAUGCUGCAUCCCUGAAUCUUUCGGGAUCUUUCACAAUUAUCCUGUGAGGACUGCACUUCAUCACGAAGCACCAUUACCAGGGAAAAUUACUGUGAUUACAAUAGCAACAAUAGAAUACCAUCAAAUGAUCUCUAAUUUACCUAAUUUGCUAAGACUGACUGUGUGGUUUUAAUGCCCAUUGUAUGUCACCAUGCCUGGCACCCGUGGAUCCAUCUCCUACCGGAAAAAAAGUGAGGCAGUGUGUGUAAUACCUUAACUCCAAAAGCCUAGCAAAGAACGUUCUCCUAGUUACAAUGUCUCUUAUGUUUGGUUUGCAUUUUCGCAUCUUUGUUUUUUCCAAUGCCUUUACCCCAAAUGCCUGUUUGGGGGGAAAUGGUGAGCCUAUUGUGGAUUUCGGGUUCUUUGGUCCAGGAGAGCAUAGACUUGUUUAUUUAUGCAUCCUCUUUCUUUUAAUGUAUACAAGCGUGUGUUUACGAGAAGGGAGGAAAGGUUCUGUUCCCGGAGAGUAGUUUAAAAAUGCAGCCAAGAUGAAGUGUGUGUAUUUGUCUGUUCUUUGAAACCCCUGUCUGCUUCCAGGUUAGAGAUCUUUUCAGGGAAUUCUAAUCCUGGUCUGAUGUGUUAAAAACCUCUCAGACUGAAAAGAAGCUUAAGAGACACAUUCGGUAAUAACUCUGUGCAGCUUUUAUUAAAAGUGUGUAUGUUCGAUGGAGUGAUUAAAUGAAGCCUCGGUACCACUUUCGUUGCAGUUGUGUCUCCUCGCUCUCUAGUAGAAGUCUAACCUAAAAAGAACUUUUUCUCCGACAGGCUGCAUGGUUCAUCUGAGGGGAACGGUGGCACCCUGAGAGAGUGGCAUGGUUCAUAAAGCCUCACUGGAGAACAGACUGGAAUCAUUUCAUGGGUACAGUGUCUUCUGGAAUCUUACUCUCAGUGGCAUGGAGACAGUCCGUGGGUUCCUGCUAGUCAAGUGACUUAAGUCUGAAUAUCUAAAGUUUGAAUAUCUAAAGCAGGGUUUCUGAGGGAUGACAGUCCUUGGGGAGGAAGGUCAGUUUGAAACAUACGUGUCUAAUAUUGUGAGUUUUUUGCUUAAGACACUGCGCUCUGAUAUGUUUCUUAAUCUUUUAUCACGGCUUUACCCUCCCGCACCCCACAAACACCUCUGUCAGAAGGAGAUGUGAUGUCUGGCGCUUCAGUAGUCAUCUUGGAACCAUGAGGAAAAGGCCAAGAGAAUCACAGAGACAUUGGUCCUACAUUUUUGAGCUAUUAAAUCACUGCCAGCAACCACUAACCUCCGAACUUCUAAUAAGAAAAAUCCAUCCAUAUUCCUUUAAGCCACUGUCAUUGCCUAUUCAUUCUAUUAUUGUCAUUCUAUUAUUUGCAGUUGACCUCGAUCCUAUCUGAAAUGCAUCAUCUAAAAGAUUUGAUUUGGCCAAAGAGACAUAAAUCCAUUCAAUUCCUCAAGGCAGGCCAUGUUCUCCCACUGCACUUAUAUAAAUUCCGUCUUCCCCAAUCAAAUCAGCUCAUGAAGGCACUGCUUCCUCGGUUGCUUGUCUCUAUCCUGAGUUUACCGCCCUCUCUGCGCCCCUAUACCUAAAUCUGCUCCAUCUUUAAAGACACAUGCUUGUCCAUAGUCUUUCCUACAGACUGAGCCCUACACAGCUCCCCAGCAAGAUGCUUACAUGGGUUUGCUGUGUAGCCUCGUCUUUCCUGUGCAG